rnacentral:rRNA from 1 species
GACGAACGCUGGCGGCGUGCUUAACACAUGCAAGUCGAACGAUGAAGCCUAGCUUGCUAGGUGGAUUAGUGGCGAACGGGUGAGUAAUACGUGAGUAACCUACCUUUAACUCUGGGAUAAGCCUGGGAAACUGGGUCUAAUACCGGAUACGACCAAUCUCCGCAUGGGGUGUUGGUGGAAAGCGUUAUGUAGUGGUUAUAGAUGGGCUCACGGCCUAUCAGCUUGUUGGUGAGGUAACGGCUCACCAAGGCGACGACGGGUAGCCGGCCUGAGAGGGUGACCGGCCACACUGGGACUGAGACACGGCCCAGACUCCUACGGGAGGCAGCAGUGGGGAAUAUUGCACAAUGGGCGCAAGCCUGAUGCAGCGACGCCGCGUGAGGGAUGACGGCCUUCGGGUUGUAAACCUCUGUUAGCAGGGAAGAAGAGAGAUUGACGGUACCUGCAGAGAAAGCGCCGGCUAACUACGUGCCAGCAGCCGCGGUAAUACGUAGGGCGCGAGCGUUGUCCGGAAUUAUUGGGCGUAAAGAGCUUGUAGGCGGUUUGUCGCGUCUGCUGUGAAAGGCCGGAGCUUAACCUCCGUGUAUUGCAGUGGGUACGGGCAGACUAGAGUGCAUUAGGGGAGACUGGAAUUCCUGGUGUAGCGGUGGAAUGCGCAGAUAUCAGGAGGAACACCGAUGGCGAAGGCAGGUCUCUGGGCUGUAACUGACGCUGAGAAGCGAAAGCAUGGGGAGCGAACAGGAUUAGAUACCCUGGUAGUCCAUGCCGUAAACGUUGGGCACUAGGUGUGGGGAACAUUCCACGUUUUCCGCGCCGUAGCUAACGCAUUAAGUGCCCCGCCUGGGGAGUACGGCCGCAAGGCUAAAACUCAAAGAAAUUGACGGGGGCCCGCACAAGCGGCGGAGCAUGCGGAUUAAUUCGAUGCAACGCGAAGAACCUUACCAAGGCUUGACAUAUACUGGACCGCAUCAGAGAUGGUGUUUCCCUUCGGGGCUGGUAUACAGGUGGUGCAUGGUUGUCGUCAGCUCGUGUCGUGAGAUGUUGGGUUAAGUCCCGCAACGAGCGCAACCCUCGUUCUAUGUUGCCAGCACGUUAUGGUGGGGACUCAUAGGAGACUGCCGGGGUCAACUCGGAGGAAGGUGGGGAUGACGUCAAAUCAUCAUGCCCCUUAUGUCUUGGGCUUCACGCAUGCUACAAUGGCCGGUACAGAGGGUUGCGAUACUGUGAGGUGGAGCUAAUCCCUAAAAGCCGGUCUCAGUUCGGAUUGGGGUCUGCAACUCGACCCCAUGAAGUCGGAGUCGCUAGUAAUCGCAGAUCAGCAACGCUGCGGUGAAUACGUUCCCGGGCCU